rnacentral:rRNA from 1 species
AGAGUUUGAUCCUGGCUCAGGAUGAACGCUAGCGGGAGGCCUAACACAUGCAAGUCGAACGGGAUUGAGAGCUUGCUCUCAUGAGAGUGGCGCACGGGUGAGUAACGCGUAUGCAACCUACCUUUAACUGAGGGAUAGCCCAUAGAAAUGUGGAUUAAUACCUCAUAGUUCUUUUGAUCCGCAUGGAUUAAAAGAUAAAGCUCCGGCGGUUAAAGAUGGGCAUGCGUGACAUUAGCUAGUUGGUAAGGUAACGGCUUACCAAGGCUACGAUGUCUAGGGGUUCUGAGAGGAUGAUCCCCCACACUGGUACUGAGACACGGACCAGACUCCUACGGGAGGCAGCAGUGAGGAAUAUUGGUCAAUGGGCGCAAGCCUGAACCAGCCAUCCCGCGUGCAGGAUGACGGCCCUAUGGGUUGUAAACUGCUUUUAUACACCAAGAAAACUUUCACGUGUGGGAGCUUGACGGUAGUGUAUGAAUAAGCAUCGGUUAACUCCGUGCCA